rnacentral:siRNA from 1 species
UAACGUCCUGCCAAACCCGUCC